AAGGACCGAUUCCUGUCUACAGAAAAUAAUUCGAGAAAGAUUUAAAUCUUGUACUGUGUUGACAAUAGCCCACAGAUUAAACACAAUCAUCGAUUCGGAUAGAGUGCUGGUACUAGAUACAGGAAAACUACAAGAAUUUGACUCGCCGUAUGCAUUACUGAAGAACGUAAAUGGUAUAUUUUAUAAUUUGGUAAAGAAGACGGGAGUAACUUCAAUGAAUGAAUUAUACAAAAUUGCCAAAGAGAAAUAUUACGCUAAAGUAAGGGUCGAACAAACAAAACUAUAAAACAGUGGAUUGUCUUCAAUGUAUAUCCAUCUUUUACAGAUCCGGUGUUACGUUUUUUAUUUAAUUCUUUUCUUAGAAAUAUUAAGUCAAGUUCUUAAACAUUAACUUAGUAUUUCCGCACAUCAUGUAAAACAUAAAAUUAAUAAUAUCUAAACAUUUGUGAGUUAAACUGUGACAAACAUUACUGACAGUAAUCAGAAAGUAUAGGAGAUAAUAUUUUAGCUAAAUUUACAAUGGUUAAUUUAAGAAAUGAAGUGAAUUUUCAAGUAUUAAAGAGCAGUAAAUGACUUUAAUUUAAUAUAAGUUUUGUUUAUGAAUUCCAUCAGGAAAUCUUAAUCGGAAAUAUAAUUCUAAUGGUAAAUAUGUAUUCCAGCAAAAAUUUGCAUUGCGGUAAUAAGUAAAAAUAAAAUUAGCCUAAAUGUUCCA